UACGUAGGGUGCAAGCGUUAUCCGGAAUUAUUGGGCGUAAAGAGCUCGUAGGCGGUUUGUCGCGUCUGCUGUGAAAACUGGAGGCUCAACCUCCCAGCCUGCAGUGGGUACGGGCAAACUAGAGUGCGGUAGGGGAGAUUGGAAUUCCUGGUGUAGCGGUGGAAUGCGCAGAUAUCAGGAGGAACACCGAUGGCGAAGGCAGAUCUCUGGGCCGUAACUGACGCUGAGGAGCGAAAGUGUGGGGAGCGAACAGG
rnacentral:rRNA from 1 species